rnacentral:rRNA from 1 species
CCCUUAGAUGUUCUGGGCCGCACGCGUGCUACACUGAGUAAUUCAAUGGGUAAGGGAACGCUAGAGCAUUACCUAAUCUUGAAAUUUGCUCGUGAUGGGGAUCGACGGUUGCAAUUUUCCGUCGUUAACGAGGAAUACCUUGUAGGCGCAUGUCAUCAUCAUGCGCCGAAUACGUCCCUGCCCUUUGUACACACCGCCCGUCGCUCCUACCGAUUGAGUGAUCCGGUGAGGCUCUGGGACCUGGACGGAAAGAGCGUUUCGCUUGUUCUGUUUGGGAAACUUGGUCGAACCUUAUCAUUUAGAGGAAGGAGAAGUCGUAACA